rnacentral:rRNA from 1 species
GAUGAACGCUGGCGGCGUGCCUAAUACAUGCAAGUCGAGCGAACAGAUAAGGAGCUUGCUCCUUUGACGUUAGCGGCGGACGGGUGAGUAACACGUGGGUAACCUACCUAUAAGACUGGGAUAACUUCGGGAAACCGGAGCUAAUACCGGAUAACAUUUGGAACCGCAUGGUUCUAAAGUGAAAGAUGGUUUUGCUAUCACUUAUAGAUGGACCCGCGCCGUAUUAGCUAGUUGGUAAGGUAACGGCUUACCAAGGCGACGAUACGUAGCCGACCUGAGAGGGUGAUCGGCCACACUGGAACUGAGACACGGUCCAGACUCCUACGGGAGGCAGCAGUAGGGAAUCUUCCGCAAUGGGCGGAAGCCUGACGGAGCAACGCCGCGUGAGUGAUGAAGGGUUUCGGCUCGUAAAACUCUGUUAUUAGGGAAGAACAAAUGUGUAAGUAACUAUGCACAU